UAUGUUUGCCUUGUAUGCGGGACCUUGCCAGGACGUGCCCGGCUGCACACACAUACGCACGCAAACAAUCCUCCAUGCACGCUGCCAAUGACAGUUGUCAACAUGACAGUUAUAAGGACACUGAUACAAAUGUUACGGAUGUUUGUCUUGGCCGGACAAGGAAUGUUGUUUACUGCUUGGCUUUUAGAGCUUUUUUAGGCAGUACUGUCAGAAGUUGGUAAGUCCGUUUCAGUUGUGGAAAUCCCAGCUAAUGUCCGGCAAUCAAUGCCUGGGACCAAUGUAGAUCCCUCCGAGACUAUCGCCGCUAUCCCCGCCCACACCGCUGCCCUCGCCGUCCUCCUCAUCCUCACCAUCGUUAUCCAGAAGGCCAUCAUCCAGCCCAAUGGCUUCCGUUCCGUUCUCCUGUCCACUCGGACCAUUGUUGAUGGUGGUUCCCUCGUAGGUAUCGCUGUCGUCCACCAGACAACAGUCCCCGCAGUCAUCCGUCGAGGAGUUGACAUCGUCGCUGAGAUCGUCCAGCAGCGUCACCUUGGGAGUCCGAAACUCAUCCGGACAUCCCACCGAAAGACCGGCGGAGGCAACCGAAAUCUUGAUGUUGCAAUUCGUGGAGGCGUGGCAGGCAUGGGAGUGCGGAAUGGGCUGCUGGACAGUGGCCACCUGGGACGACGCCCCGUGAGCGGGCCGAAAACUCAGAUUUGGCGUCCGCUGACCCAUGCUGGCGAUUCCGGGUGGCAUCUGGGUGUGCGACAUGCUCAACGUGGGCGGCACAUUUAGCACCGCUGCCCCACCGCCCACCUUGUGCUGCGAGUGGGCGUGGCCCGAGUACAUCAGCUGGUGCGUGUCCGAGGCCAAAUUGUGGGCAGUCAGUUGCAGCGGAUGCUGAUCCUUGCGUUCUGUCGAGUGGAGAAAGCAGAAGAGAUGGCAACUAUAAACACUUCAGAUUGCAAAGUAUCUGAAGGAUGCGGACACGGAAGCGGAAGUGCAUUCGAGGACAUGUCGGCGAUUGGUUUAUCGCCUCCACAUUGUGCAGGCAUCUGUGAGGGCCUCAAGUGAAUGAGCCAGCACUUCGCGUCCCCCAUCACUUCCGCUUUCCACUGUCCUGGGCUUUUGCGAAUGGGUAGAUGCGGGAGUAGAAGUAUUCGCUACCCUGCUCUCAAAUGAAAAUGUGCAUGUGCCCAUUAGGGGCGCUACGUGGACGUUUCGUAAAAUCCAAUUAAUUAAAUGGAAAAAUAAGCUGAUUG
ensembl:ncRNA asRNA:CR43865 antisense RNA:CR43865